UACGGAAGGUCCGGGCGUUAUCCGGAUUUAUUGGGUUUAAAGGGAGCGUAGGCGGUAUUUUAAGCGUGCAGUGAAAACCAGGUGCUUAACAUCUGACGUGCUGCGCGAACUGGAGUACUUGAGUGAGCGGAACGGAGGCGGAAUUCGUGGUGUAGCGGUGAAAUGCUUAGAUAUCACGAAGAACUCCGAUUGCGAAGGCAGCUUUCGGUAGCUUUACUGACGCUGAUGCUCGAAGGUGCGGGUAU
rnacentral:rRNA from 1 species